rnacentral:hammerhead_ribozyme from 1 species
AUCCAUCUGACGAGUUCCAAAUAGGAUGAAACGCGCAUCCUAGAU